AAAAAGCUCGUAGUCGAAAUUGUGUCCUCGGCCGCCGGUUCGUCGCUCGCGACGCCAACUGGCGCGCACCGCUGGACGUCCAGCCGGUACAACGAACUCGCCUACGGGGUGCUCUUAACCGAGUGUCCAGGCGGGGGCCGGCAACGUUACUUUGAACAAAUUAAAGUGCUUAAAGCAGGCUAAAUUGCGCUCGCAUACACGCGCAUGGAAUAAUCGAAUAGGACCUCCGUUCUAUUUUGUUGGGUUUUUGUGGAACGACAGACGGAGGUAAUGAUCAAUGGGUGCGGAUGGGGGCAUUCGUAUUGCGACGUUAGAGGUGAAAUUCUUGGAUCGUCGCAAGACGGACUUAAGCGAAAGCAUUUGCCAAAAACGCUUUCAUCGAUCAAGAACGAAAGUUAGAGGUUCGAAGGCGAUCAGAUACCGCCCUAGUUCUAACCAUAAACUAUGCCAGCUAGCGAUCCGCCGAAGUUACUUCUAUGACUCGGCGGGCAGCUUCCGGGAAACCAAAGCUUUCGGGUUCCGGGGGAAGUAUGGUUGCAAAGCUGAAACUUAAAGGAAUUGACGGAAGGGCACCACCAGGAGUGGAGCCUGCGGCUUAAUUUGACUCAACACGGGAAACCUCACCAGGCCCGGACACCGGAAGGAUUGACAGAUUGAGAGCUCUUUCUUGAUUCGGUGGGUGGUGGUGCAUGGCCGUUCUUAGUUGGUGGAGCGAUUUGUCUGGUUAAU
rnacentral:rRNA from 6 species